rnacentral:rRNA from 1 species
GAAACUACAAAUGAAUUGACGGGGCCGCACAAGCGGUGGAUGAUGUGGUUUAAUUCGAUGCAACGCGAAAAACCUUACCCACCUUUGACAUGGCAGGAAUCCUGAAGGGAUUUGGGAGUGCUCGAAAGAGAACCUGCACACAGGUGCUGCAUGGCUGUCGUCAGCUCGUGUCGUGAGAUGUUGGGUUAAGUCCCGCAACGAGCGCAACCCUUGCCAUUAGUUGCUACGAAAGGGCACUCUAAUGGGACUGCCGGUGACAAACCGGAGGAAGGUGGGGAUGACGUCAAGUCCUCAUGGCCCUUAUAGGUGGGGCUACACACGUCAUACAAUGGCCGGUACAGAGGGUAGCCAACCCGCGAGGGGGAGCCAAUCCCACAAAGCCGGUCGUAGUCCGGAUCGCAGUCUGCAACUCGACUGCGUGAAGUCGGAAUCGCUAGUAAUCGCGGAUCAGCAUGUCGCGGUGAAUACGUUCCCGGGUCUU